rnacentral:ncRNA from 1 species
AGGUGGUGCAUGGCUGUCGUCAGCUCGUGCCGUAAGAUGUUGGGUUAAGUCCCGCAACGAGCGNAUCGCUAGUAAUCGCCGGUCAGCCAUACGACGGUGAAUUCGUUCC